AACAAAGGAAAAAUUAGACAUAAUGCUAUGCCACACAACUGACAUGGAUGUCAGCUCUGAACUUCAACUACAAUGAUUUGAAGUAAAGAAUACUACAAAGCCUACUUCUUUCCAAGAGUUCAAAGCAUCUUCCAUGAGGAUGUCCCUUCAUUUUUUUCUCUACAACAAAGAUGUCAAACUGCCAGCCCAUGGGCCAGAC